rnacentral:lncRNA from 1 species
UUUUUUCUUGUGUUUCAAGUAGGUUAAUCAUUUUAGAAUUCCAUUUUGAUUCACCUAUAGUGUUUUAAAUGUAUUUCUUAUAUUUUAGUGGUUGCUCGGGUAUCACAUAUAUAUGUGUAAUUCAGACAGUCUACUCGUAUCAUUUGAUCAGUUUGAGUGAAGUAUAGAAACCCUAUCUACUUUGAUGCCUCUUUGCCUUCCCCACUUGAAAUAUAGUUCUCUUAAAUAUUUCUUCUGCAUUUAUUUACAACCUACAUCAGACAGUGUUGUAAUUUACACUUCAACUACCAAAUAUAUUUAUUAAAUUCAAAAGGAGAAGGAAAGCUUAAUGUUUACCCAGGUUUAUGCAUGCUUUUGCUUACCGUGUUCUUUCUUCCUUCCUAGUUUCCAAGAGUCCCUUCUUUUAUUGUUUCCUUUCUAUUUAGAGAACUUUUUCAAAUCACAUUUCUAGGGUAGGUAUACGGUGACUUAAUCCCUUAGUCUUCCUUAUCUUGAGAGUGUCCUUAUUUCCUCUUCAUUCCUGAAGGAUAAUUCCACUGGGUUUAGGAUAAUGAGUUGAUAAUUUUUCUUUCAGCACUUGAAAAAUAUUAUGCCACUUUAUUCUGGGUUUCAUUGUUUCUCAGGAGAAAUAUGCUGUCCUUCUAAUUGAUUUUUCCUGUGUCAUUUUUUUCUCACUUUCAAGAAUUUUUCUUGAAUGUAGUUUUCAGAAGUUUAAUUAUAAUGCAUCUUAGUGUAAACUUUUUUGUGUUUAUUCUGUUUGGGGUUUCCUCAGCUUCUUGAAUCUGUAGGUUUAUAUCUUUUCCAAAUUUGAGAAAUUUUCAGCCAUUAUAUCUUCAGGUACUUUUCCAGCACUGCUCUCUUUCUCCUUCCUUCUGGGACUUCAAUGGCAUGAAUGUUAGAUGUUUUGUUAUAAUCCCACAGGUCUGUGAGGUGCUGUUCAUUGUUUGUUUAUCAUUAUUCUCUUUUCUCUCAUUGUUGAGAUUGGAGUUUCUAUUGUUAUGUCUUCCAGUUAUUGAUGCCUUCCUUUCUCCCCUUCACUAUGCCGUUGAGUCUGUCCAAUGAGCAUCUUAUUUCAGUUUCUGUAUUCUCAGUUCUAAAAUGUUCAUUUAGUUCCUCUUCAUAUUUCCUUGCUGAGACUUUCUAUUUCUUUGCUGAGCUUUCUAUUUUUGCAUUUAUUUCAAGUGUAAUUGCUUGUUUAAGGUUUUUUGUUUUUUGUUUUUUGUUUUUACCAUAGCUGCUUUCAGAUCCUUUUCAGAUAAUUCUGACAGUUAUCCCAAUGUUGGCAGCUAUUGACUGUCUCUUCUCAUACAAUUUGAGGUCUUCCUGGUUCUUUGUAUAAAGAGAGAUUUUCAAUUGAAAGCUGAACAUUUUUAUAUUAUGCUCUGAGAUCUUGAACCUUAUUUAAACCUUCUGUUUUCACUGGCUUUUCCUGACCUUGCUCCUGUAGGGGAAGGGAGAAUGCCACCUCAUAUUGCCAGGUAUAAAAGUCCGGGUUCCCCACUUGGCCUUCACUGACACCCAAGUGGGAGUUUCUUUUAACUGUUGGAUAUGGUUAGGGUUUCUGGAUCUCUCUGUGGCCUCCUCAGACACUGAUGUGGGGGUAGCCCCAUGACCACUGGGCAAUGGUAAAAGUCCUGAGUCUCCAUUAGGUCUCCAAUAUCACAGUCCCAGCAAGGGGCAGGUGUACAUACUUUUGUUAGGUGAAAGUGGAAAUCUACACUCCCCAUUGAUACUGCAGCAUGAAUGAGGAGAGGGGACAAGUCGUUACCAGCCAGCAGGGAUGAAAGUCCUAGCUCCCUACUUUGUCUCUGAUAUUACCCCACAGGAGAAUAGUUAUAGCCUCUGGAAAAUGAAAGAAAGUCUAGAUUCUGCACUCAGGCUUCCCUGGUAUGGGUGAGAGUGGGGCCACAAUUUUUUCUGUUGUUUGGUAAAGAGAUUAGUGUCUAAAAGUGUUCUGUCUCGCAACAAUGUCCCUUUUUCUACAUUUCUGGCUAGAGAGAGUAAGCUUCACUGGGGGCUUUUUGUCUGUGCCCAUUGGUAUUCCUAGCUUGCUAGCUUCUUUAGUAUCAAAUCUUGGAUAUGUAAGAUAAGAAGACAACAUAGGGAAUUUACCACCAGGUUAUUCCUCUGGUUCUCAAGUCCUUAACCAGUAUACUUCCUCCUCUCUGCCUUUCAGAAUCUUGUGUUUGUUCUACAUGGAAUCUCCAGGAGUUUUUGUUGUAUUUAGUGGGAGGAAUAGGGAAAUCACAUCCACUCCAAUUACUUGAAAGUGGAAUUCUGUAUUUUUAAUUCACAUAGCUGUUACCUAAUUGUCUUUCAUAGAUGUAUCAAUGUACAUUUACAUUUCAGUUGAACCAAUUACAUUUUUGCAGAGUUAACAUUGGUUUACACCACUGGUUUUCAUUCCAGAAAUUGCUCUUGGCCAUCUGUUUUUAUCCUCACAUCUGCCAUUUUAGAGUCAACUUAAGAACUUUUUUAAUAGAAAAUUCUUCCUAUAGGGUAGAAAAGAAGUAAUGGUGUUCAGGAGUGAGCUUCUAGUAGAUGCCUUCCUUUAACUUGCCUGCCUCCCACCUAGCCCUAGUUCAUCUAAUUUGAAGGUGAUUAGUGGAGCUUUUCCAAGCCUCCUCCACUUAACAAAAGUGAACACUACACAGAGUCCUGAGAAGGAAAUUUUUAUUCCAGUUUCUGGUGUAUUCUGUUUUAUUCUAAAUCAGAUUAUAUUAAACAAAACUUCCUUGAAGUUUGAGGUAUUUUAUUGGGACUAUUCCCUAAUUUCACCAUUCUCACCAUGUGUGCUUAUUUUGUCUGUUUUAGCCAGUAUUUUGGGAGAAUGGGGUGGACUGCUAUCAUUCAAAGAAGCGUUAAGUGGAUACCUUUUAUAGGCAGCUUCUUUUCAGGGGCGGAAAUAAGCCAUUAUAUGUGCAAAAACUAAGGUUGAGCAACAGCAAUGUUGCCAGAUGAGUAUCCACUUUCACUGUUUAGUCCCUCACACUUGAUUAUACCACAUCUUUAUUUUCUGGGCUUGUUUGUAUGGUAGUCCUUAAACCCCACAUUCAACACUGGUAUGAAAGAGUAUUGCAAGAACAAGACAGCAGUAACUAGGAAGCCCUAUCAUUUUAGAUAGGAAUACAAUUAAAACACUCUCCCCUCAAUUAAAGCUUAUUGCCAUUAAUACACAGUCCCCAGAAGGGUUUUUGUUGGUUUUACUUCAAAAGCUGAAGCUCCUACCCUUCACUACAAAUAAACACAUACAAAUGAAGUAAAAGGAUUACCUUGUGAACUUAAGUGUAGAAUAGAGGGUGUGUGUAUAGAUAUACUGCAACUUCUCAAACUAAAAAAAAAAAAAAAAUCUAAAUACUUCUGAUAAAAUACCAUACUUAUACUAGAAUAUUUUGUACAAAAAAUACAUAAAAAUGUAACUCCACAUAAUACUAUCUAGCUAUAAAUUACUGUAAAAUAUUUUUGGAAUAUUUUGUUCUAGUCUCUUCCUAGGCAUUUAUAUAUACAUACAACCACACACACAUAUAUACAUACGUGUGUGUGUGUAUAUAGAUAUAAAAUACAUAUAAUUAGAUGGGCUCAUACUGUAAAUACCACUUUGAACUCUGCUUUAUUCACUUAACAUAAUAAUGUAUUUUCCUAUUUGGUUAAGUGGUCUUUAAAAACAUGAGUCUUUAAUGGCUGCAAUAAUAAUAUUCUGCCUUAUGAAGGUGCCAUAACUUAAACAUUCUUCUAUUUGUGGGUAUUUAAGUUUUUACAUUUUAGCCACUUUUAAUAACACUGCAACGCAUAUGCUUUUCCAUAAAUCUUUGAGUUUAUUUUCCUCAGGAUAGACUGCUAGAAUUUGGAUUACUGAAUUGCAGCUACUAACUGCACUAGGCUCCCUUCCACAGCAGGAAUCCCUGUUCUGGGUUAGGGCCAAGUUCACGCUUGGCCUCAGCACUGAAAAGAGAUUGCAGAUUCUGUACCCCUCUAGCAAGACACUGUUGAGGUUCUCUUUAGAAUACUUAUUUCCUGUCAGUGGUGAGGCCAGGUAAGCCUGGGGGUCUUUCAGCUUGCACAAAGGUGAAUUUGCUGCUUCUGCUCCUUAGAAGAACUGCUAGGAAUCAGGGAAACUGAGUCAUACGUGUAUGUUUCCUCUGGUCUGUACUCUGCCAGUGUGAGUCAGUAGAAAGGUAAGAAACUUUUUUUUUUUUUUUUUGCAAGAACCCCUGUCUGCUAAUUUAUUUUAGGACAAAUAUAAUAGUUUCCAUACCACAAGGAAACAGUAUCUUUAAAACAAAAUCGGGAACACAGUAUCUAUACACAAGUAGGCUUUUAUUAUUUUUUCUUUUAUUGUUUUUUUCUUUGGCUAAAAUUUUGGCACUAUAUUGUUUUACCACAUUAUCUGAUUGUGAUGCUUCAUCUCUGAUCACACGUUGCUGUCAUUAAGGCAUUUCUGAGGCUUUUUUUUUAAAUCUGGAAAGUUAUUAAAUUGUAAAAAUGUGGCUUGUUGUACACUACCUUCUAAAAUUAUUAAAGAACACUCUUCUUUAAAACAAGAGUGUUCUCCAUUGUCAUCAAGACAAACAGCAGUACCUUUACACAAAAGCAGCAUUCAUCUGUCACCCUACUUUAAAACACCCAAUAUUCGUCAGCUGUUUGCCCUUCUUGGAGCAGCCUGAGCAGGAAAGGGUUAAUGUUUUACCCACUCAUGCCCUUUGAUCAAUUUUCUAUUGAGAUGUUAGGGUUUUUUCUUUUUGAAUUUGAGAAAGCCCUUUAAGUACUGAUUAUAUUAACCCUAUGUUUAUGUCUGUCAUACUUGUCUAAAAUAAUUUUUCCCA